CAGUCGCCGCGGGAAAACGGAGGGUGCAAGCGUUAUCCGGAUUUAUUGGGUUUAAAGGGUCCGUAGGCGGAUCUGUAAGUCAGUGGUGAAAUCUCACAGCUUAACUGUGAAACUGCCAUUGAUACUGCAGGUCUUGAGUAAAUUUGAAGUGGCUGGAAUAAGUAGUGUAGCGGUGAAAUGCAUAGAUAUUACUUAGAACACCAAUUGCGAAGGCAGGUCACUAAUAUUUAACUGACGCUGAUGGACGAAAGCGUGGGGAGCGAACAGGAUUAGAUACCCCUGUAGUCCCCUGUCUCUUAUA
rnacentral:rRNA from 1 species